rnacentral:rRNA from 1 species
UACCAGCACCCCGAGUGGUCGGGACGAUUAUUGGGCCUAAAGCAUCCGUAGCCGGUCAUGCAAGUCCUCCGUUAAAUCCACCUGCUUAACAGAUGGGCUGCGGAGGAUACUACAAGGCUAGGAGGCGGGAGAGGCAAGCGGUACUCGAUGGGUAGGGGUAAAAUCCGUUGAUCCAUUGAAGACCACCAGUGGCGAAGGCGGCUUGCCAGAACGCGCUCGACGGUGAGGGAUGAAAGCUGGGGGAGCAAACCGG